rnacentral:lncRNA from 1 species
GAACUACGUACCUACAAAGAUUCGUGCUAUAUUCAAGAAGCGAAUAAAUUGAAUUGGUAGAUACAGAGAAGAAAUGGAAAACGAACAAUAGUAUAAUUCUGAUGAACCCUUACACAUGUUCUUGUGGAGAUACCAGGACAGUACAGUAUAAUUUACCCCAUCAUAAGUAAUUCCUGUUGUCCCUCCUCUACCAAGCAUAUGUGCUGCCUUAGCAUUUAUCCUAAACUAUUGCUUGGCAGGUUCAGGCUUUCCCAAGCUUAAAACGAUUGGUAAACUUACACAACAGUUACAUAUCAACGCGGACUUGGUAUCCUGUAUGCAAAAACAGUGAAACGUUUGAGCUAGUAAACAACUUCCAACAAACAACAUAACCUCUCUGGUUGAAUAGGAGCACAAAUUAACAUUUUUCUCAAUAUAAAGUUACACAUCGAUAAACAAAAAAUCAAACACCAUUUCAGUGAAACAAACAUGUCCAAGAUGGAGAGUGUCUUUUUUCUAGCUAAAAAUGAGAAACUUGCAUAGGCAAUGUCAACACCUGGUACGAUGUGGCACAUUUCGCAUGCAUGGGAGAUGGAAGCAGAAGCAGAGUACCUACGAGAAACCUGCCUAGUUCAUCUUAAAAAGAUUGUGACUUAUGGCGGCGAUAAAUCAUUUUGCCUGAACGAUAUAAUGGUGUUAUCCUUUCAUUCAGGAUACACAAACUAUAUCUCUGUUCACUUUGAUAGAGUAAAGGUCAAUACAUACAUACUUAGAACAUUAAUAUGCAUUCAAACAAUUUGUCAAACACUUGGAGAACGACCAAAGUAACCACAACUCACAUUUCAUAAAUUUGAACUGACCAUGCAAAACAUUACGUACUGUAUAUUGAAUAACCAAAACAUGGUAAAGUGAAAGAAUACUUACAAUUUGUCAUUCUACAAAUUGAGAGCUCAUCAAUUGAGCUGGGUUUUGCUAAAGAUUUAACAAUUUGUC